CGGGGUGGAGUAAUGUCUGGGAAACUGCCUGAUGGAGGGGGGUAACUACUGGAAACGGUAGCUAAUACCGCAUAACGUCUUCGGACCAAAGUGGGGGACCUUCGGGCCUCACGCCAUCGGAUGUGCCCAGAUGGGAUUAGCUAGUAGGUGGGGUAAUGGCUCACCUAGGCGACGAUCCCUAGCUGGUCUGAGAGGAUGACCAGCCACACUGGAACUGAGACACGGUCCAG
rnacentral:rRNA from 1 species